UCCAAUUUAUUUAUCUAAUAUUCCCAAAAUUCAAUGAAAAUUCCCAAAAUCUGCUCGACGCCUCUGCUCAUCAGUCCACAGUCCGACAAUCGUCGCCACUCACCUGAGUGUCAUCUUCUUCAGGAUAUUCCAGUGAGCUAUAUUAAGCAUCGAUAAUGGGCUCUAGAGUUUGGUUCAAGAAUAUAAUGAGCAAAAAGAAAGUGAGAGGUGACAGAGCUCAAAAAUUGAAGGGCCCAACAAUCACAGGACCGGCUCUGAUUCCAUGAAAGACAUUGUCAAACCAAUUGGUGCGGCGGUUGAUUCUGAUAAAGAUGAAUUAGAGGCAGAACUUGAAGACUAGAAGGCAACCUGUACGCCCAACUGCUUGCAAGAAUACAGAAGAUGAAGAUGAGCUUGAUGCAUUGCAGGCAGAAAUGGCUCAGUGGUUGCUACAAAGAAGAAAAAAUGAUUCUAGUGAGGAAUUAGAAUCUAGAACACCAGAAUAUGAAGCACCGAAGACAAACCAUGUUGUUGGUGUUGAAACCUAUCCUUGAGGUCAUUCCCAAUGGCAGUCAAACUGGUGGAUGAUCUGAAGCCAAACUAUCUUUGUAGCCAGUAAAAUGCUGAGAUGAUAGCAAUAGUAGGAAGCAAUUAUGCUCUGAUACCAUAUUAAAUUCUUGAAUUCAAACAAUGUUGAAACCUGGCAUGAUUGCAGGAACUAAAAGGCCUCAUCAUUGAAGCAAGAAAUACUCCAUGAAAGGAAGAAAACAAACCUCCAUGAAUGGAGGGAUUGGAAUACAAUACAAUGAACUAAAAUGUAUACAAAGUCUUGUAUUUAUAUACACAAAUGUGGGUAGCUAA